rnacentral:tRNA from 1 species
GCCUUCGUGGUGUUGGGGUCAGAACGCUCAUCUCGUAUUCGAGAGGUCCGUGGUUCGAGUCCUGGCGAGGGCA